rnacentral:lncRNA from 1 species
CUGCCACUUUGUUUACACCGUGAGCAUAGAACUGCCUACUCAAGCGUGAGUAAUAGUGGAUGCCCCUCCCCUGCCAAGCUCCAGUGUCACAGGUCAAUCUCAGACUGCUGCGCUAGCACCAAGCAAGGCUCCGUGGGUGUGGGACCUGCCGAGCCAGGCAUGGGGAGGGAAUCUCCAAAUCUGCUGGUUGCGAAGACCCCUGGGAAAAGUGCAGUAUUUGUGCAGGAGUGUACCAUUCCUCCAGGAUACUUUUGACCUACCUUGAGUGGAGCAUGUGAUUUGGCUUGUGUCCCAAGGAAAAGUGACAGUCUCCAUAAACAGCAGUACUUUAUGACUGACAGAAAGCAUCUAUGAAAUAGAUGAAUGAAAAGAAGAAAGGCUGUCUGUGUUUGGACAAUUUAAAUCUUUUUGUUGGAAUCAACCUGCUUCCAAGAAAGAUGUAACUCAUGCCCUAGCCUCACUACCAGAUGACCUGGAGGACUUUUUCCAAGUCUGAGACUUACUCUUUUAGAGGAAUAUUAACAAACUACUAUUGGCUCAGAGGACAAAAAGUCAAAUUACAAAAGAGCAGGCCACCAUAGCCCAUGAAGAAUGGCAGAAAUGGGGCUGUUUGGUGAGAGGAAGUAACUUCAAUGUCCAAAUUGACAUUCUCAGCCAGGCUAGGUGGCUCACACCUGUAAUCCCAGCACUUUGGGAGGCCAAGGUGGGUGGAUCACCUGAGGUCAGGAGUUCAAGACCAGACUGGCCAACAUGGUGAAACCCUGUCUCUACUAAAAAUACAAAAAUUAGCCCGGUGUGGUGGUGGGUGCCUGUAAUCCUAGCUACUUGGGAGGCUGAGGCAGGAGAAUCACUUGAACCUGGGAGGUGGUUGCAGUGAGCCGAGAUCAUUCUACCACACUCCAGCCUGGGUGACAGUGAGACUUCAUCUCAAAAAACAAACAAACAAACAAACAAACAACAACAAAAAAUUGAUAUUCUCAUUCUUGACUCUUCCCUCUCUCUAAUGCCCAUGUUCAGUCACCAAUCAUGUAGUUGUAUCUCUUGAAUAUCUCUCAACUAUCUAAUAAAUAUUUGAAGAUGAUAAAAUAAAAUAAUUCACAAAAAGAAACCUGAAUAGUUCAUUAGUAAAUAAAAAUUUAUUCAGUUUAUUGGUUAACAGAGAAGUAUGUGUUAAAACAAUGAAAAGCCACUUUACAUGGAUACGAUUGACAAAAAGUAAGAGAAAAACACUAAGUAUUGGUGAGCAUACCAGGAAAUAGGCACUACUCAGGCACUACUGGUGGGAGG